UACAGGGGGUGCAAACGUUGCUCGGAAUCAUUGGGCGUAAAGCGCACGUAGGCGGUUCGUUAUGUCGGAUGUGAAAGCCCUUGGCUUAACCGAGGAAGUGCAUCCGAAACUGGCGAGCUAGAGUACUAAAGAGGAUCGCGGAAUUCCCGGUGUAGAGGUGAAAUUCGUAGAUAUUAGGAAGAACACCGGUGGCGAAGGCGGCCCACUGGAUCGGUACUGACGCUGAGGUGCGAAAGCGUGGGGAGCAAACAGG
rnacentral:rRNA from 1 species